rnacentral:rRNA from 1 species
UGCGUAGGCGGCGGGGAAAGUCAGAUGUGAAAUCCGGAGGCUCAACCUCCGAAUUGCAUCCGAUACUCCCUCGCUAGAGAUUUGUAGAGGAGCUUGGAAUUCUCGGUGUAGCAGUGAAAUGCGUAGAUAUCGAGAAGAACGCUCGCAGCAAAGGCGAAGCUCUGGGCAAAUUCUGACGCUGAUGCACGAAGGCUAGGGGAGCAAACG